UGCCACAAAGUCAUACAGCCUCUUGGUGCACU
rnacentral:piRNA from 1 species